rnacentral:rRNA from 1 species
GACGUAGGGCGCGAGCGUUGUCCGGAUUUAUUGGGCGUAAAGAGCUCGUAGGCGGUCUGUCACGUCAGGAGUGAAAACUCGGGGCUCAACCCCGAGCCUGCUUCUGAUACGGGCAGACUGGAGGUAUGCAGGGGAGAACGGAAUUCCUGGUGUAGCGGUGAAAUGCGCAGAUAUCAGGAGGAACACCGGUGGCGAAGGCGGUUCUCUGGGCAUUACCUGACGCUGAGGAGCGAAAGUGUGGGGAGCGAACAGG